rnacentral:rRNA from 1 species
UGGAGAGUUUGAUCCUGGCUCAGGACGAACGCUUGCGGCGUGCUUAACACAUGCAAGUCGAACGGAAAGGCCCCUUCGGGGGUACUCGAGUGGCGAACGGGUGAGUAACACGUGGGUAAUCUGCCCUGCACUUCGGGAUAAGCCUGGGAAACUGGGUCUAAUACCGGAUAGGACCACUUGGCGCAUGCCUUGUGGUGGAAAGCUUUUGCGGUGUGGGAUGGGCCCGCGGCCUAUCAGCUUGUUGGUGGGGUGACGGCCUACCAAGGCGACGACGGGUAGCCGGCCUGAGAGGGUGUCCGGCCACACUGGGACUGAGAUACGGCCCAGACUCCUACGGGAGGCAGCAGUGGGGAAUAUUGCACAAUGGGCGCAAGCCUGAUGCAGCGACGCCGCGUGGGGGAUGACGGCCUUCGGGUUGUAAACCUCUUUCAGCAGGGACGAAGCGCAAGUGACGGUACCUGCAGAAGAAGCACCGGCCAACUACGUGCCAGCAGCCGCGGUA